UUACCGGCUUGACAUGAUUUAACCCCUUCGGGCACAGGUGGUGCAUGGUUGUCGUCAGCUCGUGUCGUGAGAUGUUGGGUUAAGUCCCGCAACGGGCGCAACCCUGUCUUAGUUGCCAUCAUAUGGGACUCUAGGAGACUGCCGAGGAUAAUCGGAGGAAGGUGGGGAUGACGUCAAAUCAUCAUGCCCCUUAUGUCGGGCUACACACGUGCUACAAUGGGGUACAAGAGGCAUGGUGACGGGAGCAAUCUCAAAACCGUCCCAGUUCGGAUUGUAGGCUGAAACUCGCCUACAUGAAGUUGGAGUUGCUAGUAAUCGCAAUCAGAUGUGCGGUGAAUGCGUUCCCGGGUCUUGUACACACCGCCCGUCACACCAUGGAAGUUGGGGGCCGAA
rnacentral:rRNA from 1 species